GCUGGAGGUAUCAGAAGUGCGAAUGCUGACAUGAGUAACGUUAAAGCGGGUGAAAAGCCCGCUCGCCGCAAGCCCAAGGUUUCCUGCUCUACGUUCAUCGGAGCAGGGUGAGUCGGCCCCUAAGGUCAGGCUGAGAAGCGUAGCUGAUGGGAAGCUGGUUAAUAUUCCAGCACCGAUUUCAAGUGCGAAGGGGGGACGGAGUCCUGAAGGUCAUCCGGGUGUUGGAUAUCCCGGUUUACGAGCGUAGGAGGUUGACAGGCAAAUCCGUCAACGGAUCUCCAAGGCGAAGGAUCGAGGUUGAGAGAUCAACUGAAGUGACUGAAUGGGCUUCCAGGAAAAGCCUCUAAGCAUCAGCUUGGAAUUGACCGUACCGCAAACCGACACUGGUGGGCGAGCUGAAUAUGCUCAGGCGCUUGAGAGAACUCAGGAGAAGGAACUCGGCAAAUUGACACCGUAACUUCGGGAUAAGGUGUGCCUUUGUAGUGUGAAGAGAGAAACACUCCGAGCAUGAAGAGGCCUCAGAGAAUCGGUGGCUGCAACUGUUUACUAAAAACACAGCACUCUGCAAAGAUGAAAGUCGACGUAUAGGGUGUGAUGCCUGCCCGGUGCUGGAAGAUUAAUUGAUGGGGUGCAAGCUCCUGAUCGAAGUCCCAGUAAACGGCGGCCGUAACUAUAACGGUCCUAAGGUAGCGAAAUUCCUUGUCGGGCAAGUUCCGACCUGCACGAAUGGCAUAAUGAUGGCCACACUGUCUCCUCCUGAGACUCAGUGAAGUUGAAAUGUUUGUGAUGAUGCAAUCUCCCCGCGGCUAGACGGAAAGACCCCAUGAACCUUUACUGCAGCUUUGCAUUGGACUUUGAACCGAUCUGUGUAGGAUAGGUGGGAGGCAGUGAAGCUAGGACGCCAGUCUUAGCGGAGCCAACCUUGAAAUACCACCCUGAUUUGUUUGAGGUUCUAACCUAGGAGCGUGAUCCGCUUCGGGGACCGUGCAUGGUAGGCAGUUUGACUGGGGCGGUCUCCUCCUAAAGGGUAACGGAGGAGUGCGAAGGUACGCUAGGUACGGUCGGAAAUCGUGCUGAUAGUGCAAUGGCAAAAGCGUGCUUGACUGCGAGACCGACAAGUCGAGCAGAUACGAAAGUAGGUCAUAGUGAUCCGGUGGCUCUGCAUGGAAGGGCCAUCGCUCAACGGAUAAAAGGUACUCUGGGGAUAACAGGCUGAUACCGCCCAAGAGUUCAUAUCGACGGCGGUGUUUGGCAC
rnacentral:rRNA from 1 species